GACGAACGCUGGCGGCGUGCCUAAUACAUGCAAGUCGAGCGGACGGAUGGGAGCUUGCUCCCAGACCGUCAGCGGCGGACGGGUGAGUAACACGUGGGCAACCUGCCUGUAAGACUGGGAUAACUCCGGGAAACCGGGGCUAAUACCGGAUAACUCUUUCCGUCACAUGAGGGAAAGCUGAAAGAUGGCAUCUCGCUAUCACUUACAGAUGGGCCCGCGGCGCAUUAGCUAGUUGGUGAGGUAACGGCUCACCAAGGCGACGAUGCGUAGCCGACCUGAGAGGGUGAUCGGCCACACUGGGACUGAGACACGGCCCAGACUCCUACGGGAGGCAGCAGUAGGGAAUCUUCCGCAAUGGACGAAAGUCUGACGGAGCAACGCCGCGUGAGUGAUGAAGGUUUUCGGAUCGUAAAACUCUGUUGUCAGGGAAGAACAAGUACCGGAGUAACUGCCGGUACCUUGACGGUACCUGACCAGAAAGCCACGGCUAACUACGUG
rnacentral:rRNA from 1 species